UACGGAGGAUCCAAGCGUUAUCCGGAUUCACUGGGUUUAAAGGGUGCGUAGGUGGGUCUGUAAGUCAGUGGUGAAAUCUCCGAGCUUAACUUGGAAACUGCCAUUGAUACUAUAGGUCUUGAAUACUGUGGAGGUCAGCGGAAUAUGUCAUGUAGCGGUGAAAUGCUUAGAUAUGACAUAGAACACCAAUUGCGAAGGCAGCUGGCUACACAAAUAUUGACACUGAGGCACGAAAGCGUGGGGAUCAAACAGG
rnacentral:rRNA from 1 species